rnacentral:rRNA from 1 species
UACGGGGGGUGCGAGCGUUGUCCGGAAUCACUGGGCGUAAAGGGCGCGUAGGUGGUUUGAUAAGGCUGUGGUGAAAGCCCGGGGCUCAACCCCGGGUCUGCCGUGGCGACUGUCAGACUGGAGGGCUCGAGAGGCAGACGGAAUUCCGGGUGUAGCGGUGGAAUGCGUAGAGAUCCGGAAGAAGACCGGUGGCGAAGGCGGUCUGCUGGCGAGUACCUGACACUGAGGCGCGACAGCGUGGGGAGCAAACAGG